UCUCCAUUUUUCUUCAGGUCUGAGUUUAUGGGAAUCUAGGUUCCUUUCCUCCUUUUCCCCCCGCUGUCUCCCCCACACUGUCUCACCUCUCCACCCCCCAACCCCCCCGCACAGCAUUCUAUAAGAUUAUUUGUGGAAAAAGUACUAAGUUCUCUUUGGAGAAACAGAAGGAGAAUUUGGUGAUGGGAAUGGAAGUGGAGGAAGGUUUCUUAGUUUCUAAGAUUAGAGGAUGUGUGGCAUAGUGGUCAGGACCAUAGGUUCUGGUCUU
rnacentral:lncRNA from 1 species